GUGAGGAAUAUUGCGCAAUGGACGAAAGUCUGACGCAGCCAUGCCGCGUGAAGGAUUGACGGCCCUAUGGGUUGUAAACUUCUUUUGUAUAGGAAUAAACCCUCGUUCGUGAACGAGGCUGAAGGUACUAUAAGAAUAAGCACCGGCUAACUCCGUGCCAGCAGCCGCGGUAAUACGGAGGGUGCAAGCGUUAUCCGGAUUUAUUGGGUUUAAAGGGUCCGUAGGCGGAUCGUUAAGUCAGUGGUGAAAUCCUACCGCUCAACGGUAGAACUGCCAUUGAUACUGGCGAUCUUGAGUAUGUAUGAAGUUGGCGGAAUGUGUGGUGUAGCGGUGAAAUGCUUAGAUAUCAUACAGAACACCGAUUGCGAAGGCAGCUGACUAAUACACAACUGACGCUGAGGGACGAAAGUGUGGGGAUCAAACAGGAUUAGAAACCCGAGUAGUCC
rnacentral:rRNA from 1 species